CUCUGUGACUGGCUUGCUUGAUAGUUAGGGUCUGAUUGCUGCCUGAGACACCAUAUCGGUACUCCUCAGAGUUGAUGCAUAGUGUUCAUAUGAGGAGAGACUUUCCCUUGUCUCCGUCAUCUGUGAUUUCACUUCCCUGACAGAAGACGAAGCUUCCAUCUCAGAUGUUUUCUUAAAUGAUGAAACAGCAUACGCCUCUGUUCUUGUCAGCUCAGGGAAAACAGAUCUGGGGACCUCUUCAUCUCUGCGUCGGGAAGCAUAGGUGGUAUAAUCCCCUCCUGUUACGUCCAGCGUUGCAUAGUCAGAAGCUUCGCCCUUGUAGUUGGUGCACACAGCACGGUGAUCACAGGAUCUGGUUUGCCACUGAAAGGAAUCUUGAUGCUGACCACUUCACCUCGGAGAGCAUGAACUGCUCCCAUGCCUUCAAGAGUUUUAGAUUUUCACAUUUCACACGGAACUCAUAUUCAAGACCUUCAAUAAGGUUUUUCACUGAAAAGACAGUUUCUCGAAUUUCUUCUGUUGUCACAGAAAUCCAUUUAUUCUGUUUCUUCUCACGCUUCUCAAGUGGGUAACCAGGAUGGAACUGUGGUGUUGCUUGCAGGAGAAGCUUACUACUGGUUUCUACUUCUCCAACCUCAUUGGUGGCUAUGCAGGCACUGUCUCCAGACUGUCUAUAUUCAACCCAGUAUCCAAGAAUUUCUUUGCCACCAUCACAUUCAGGUUUCUCCCACUGUAGAGUGACACUAUCUUUGGAUAUUGAAAGAAUCUCAAGUUCUCCUGGUUGGCUUGGUUUAUCUGAAAUAUUUUAAAA
rnacentral:antisense_RNA from 1 species